AUUAUAUAAAACUGAAUAAAAUCUCAUUCAUUUGGUACAUGUAUGUUUCUUAUAGUUUGUGUAUACAUUUUAUUGUAUAUAUUUCAUUUUCCAAAAAUAAAUCUCAUUAACUACUCGGGUAUCCAAUUACGUCGAGGCGACGAAUGACCGUACAGGUUGCGACAAUGUGACGUCAACUGAAAAUGAGAAAGGUGAUUGGCUAUUGAGUAUGUGACGUCAACUGAAAAUGAGAAACGUGAUUGGCUAUUGAGUAUGUGACGUCAACUGCAAAUGAGAAACGUGAUUGGCUAUUGAGUCCACCUGCUCAUUCAGGCGCAACGGAACGUUAUUUUGCCCCUAGAAUUAGCCGAGUAGAGGUGUACAACAGUCUUGAAGGAGCGGUGAUUCCAGUCAUAUCCUGCCGAGCAGAAGCUGGUGGCAGAUGUUCCAGUUGUGGUAUUUGAGUUACCAAGAUGAGCGUGUGGAGAGGUGGGGGCUGGGCGAAACAGCAAUGGUGAUGUAUCUAUUUGUGAAGAAAGCAACAUUGGUGGAGGGGAACCAACGCCACACUGCAGAGUAAUGGAAGAGGCUGUGACCUGCAGGUGACACGCUUGAGGACCCUAGACGUGGAUACCAUCGUGUGUAGUUACUGUAGGGACACAACCUCCAGCUGUUGAAUGAUCAAGUUUCUGUUCCAUAGAAGAACCGACUACGGAAGGCGCACGAGGUACACCAUUGAUGAAGAAUGAAAAGGGAUGGAGCCCGAGGACAGAGAACUGCACCCAUGAGGUCGACCCACAUUGCUAGUUCCAGCGGGCAGCCGACGCGUUCGCCCUUCUGGGUUGUGGUUUCCGCGCGGUGUUUGCGGUGCUCGGGCGGAACCCCCAAAUUGAUAAGCCUGCAGAUAGCUAAUAAAUAAUCGGAUGAAUUGUAAUUAGUGUAAAUAAAUUAAUGCAAGUUUAAUUGACUACAUAUGGAUGUAGUUAUGAAUUGUAAUUAAAAUGUAGUUUUUAAAUAUAAGGAAUAAUCAUAAUAAUGAUUGUUAUGCACUAGUGAAUAAGUCAUUAUCAUUGCUGUUAAUGAGCAAAUACUGUUACUGAAUAAAAUAGGUAAUAAAUAUAGUAAAUAAUAAAAAAAAAAAUUAGUUAUUAAUAAUAAAAUAUGAUUUAGCAUUAUCCAAAAAAUAAGUCGGCAAUCUGAGCAGGUUUUGUUCAAGCUCAGAAAAUGAAAAUAGAAGUAGUGUUAGCGUUGAACGUUG